CAGAGGCACGAUGAGUGAAAUCAGGUGGAUCAAGACCUUGUUAUUUCUGACACUGGAGCUUCACUUUACAGGUCAAAUAUUUACCACAUCUUUUUUUACCAUCAGAGGAUAAGGCAGCGUAGUUUUUCCAAACUCAGCUGAGCUGUGUGUGUGUGUGUUGGUUUGAUAGUUUGCAGGAUUACAGGAAAAAAGUACUUCAUGAAACUUUGUGGGAGGAUUGGGCUUGGGUCAAGGAAGAAUCCGUUAAAUUUUCAGGGCAGAUAUAAGAAUUAAGCUUGACUGAAUUUAAGGGGACCGUUUUCCCUGUGGUGGGGUGUAGUUAGUUAGUUAGUUAGUAAGUUAGUUAGUUUCUCAGCAGGAUUAUGCAGGGUUUUGGUGGGAGGGUGAGGUAGGGGUCAGAUCUUUACCUUAUUUUGUAGUUUUUCAUUGUCAGGUUUUAUUUCCUGUCCUGUCUGCCCCGCCCCUAAUGUGUAUCACCUUACUUUGCUCAGUUUUGUCCAGCAGCCAUGUUGUUUUCUUGAGUUUUUGUUUUCCCCGUCCUACAUUUGUUUGUGUUAUUUAAGAAUCUUUUUAGUCACUUUGACAUCCUGCAUUAGGGUGUUCUCUUUUGGUGACACAGGUCAUAUCAAUAUUCAGUCAAGCCUUGACUGAAUAGUAUGCCUUGACUUUGUAUGUAAACUUGUCACAUGACAAAUUUGUGCCAUGAACACGGCACUCAGCCUCAGUGGAGUUGAUUGGUGUUUGUGGUAAGUUGUCAUGUCUGACUCUCGAGUUGAAGUUUUUCAUCUUUGCAAAACAUCACGCUGACACUUCGACGCGAUGGUCAAUCAGCGCUGAGAUUCUCCAGAUGACGUCACGCACUUGCCAGAGGCCAGACACUUUAUCUCUUGUGGAAACUUCUGCAGAGAAGAAACACACCAUACGGAGCCGGACACAACUUGGCCGAGUUUCACCGUUAAAUUUGGGAGUGGCCUCUUCCAGCGAUACUUCGGGAACUUUGGUUCAAGUUAAACUGUGGAACUCGUCAUGUUGUGUGACGGGUGAAAAAGAAAUGGCCGUUACUUCUGUUUAAAAUACGGCGACUUGUACCCACAGCGUCAAUCGCGUCACAAAAUUUACAAAAAGAUCCCGCGGCGCGAUGGACACAUCGCAUCCGGUGUGGACACAGCAUUACCUGCUUGAGGUGGACAGGGUCUGAGGACACAGACUGUGUCUGUAUUACUACAGACACAAAAUACAAAAUUACAAAAUACAAAAUUUUUGUUUUCCCCGUCCUACAUUUGUUUGUGUUAUUUAAGAAUCAGCCCUGUUUGUUUUGGUGUGCUGGUGUCAAUGCAACGAGGUGGGUUCAGAACACAAGCCAGAUCAGGGUUUGCUUGAGCUCCCACAAAGUGGUUUUAGCACAAACAUACAAUGAUCCUGGGGAUUUCUCAAGAAACAACACAGGGAACGUGUUGAAAUAAAUAAGGAUCAGGAUUACUGUAUGUAAUGUGUUAAUAUCUGUAAAUGUUUGCUGCAGAUCCAGAUGUUGGCAUAUUCUUGUUUAUUUUCAUGUCCUUUCCUGACGCAGAGACCAUUGAACCACUGAUCUUGAUUAUCAAGGAGGGAGAUGAAGCUACGUUGACAUGUGGAAAUAUGAAGCUCACUCGGGAUAAAUGUGGCUGGAUUCAUACUCAUCCUGGGAAAGCAAUAUCAGAGCUGGUGGAAAAUGGGAAGCUUCGGGCAGAUCAGUCGCACAGACUGAGCGUCACAGAGCACUGUUCUCUGGUUAUAAAGAAAGUCACAACUGCAGACAGGGGUCGAUACGACUGUCAGCGGAUCGCACCUCUCAGUGAUGCUCUGGUUUAUCUGUCUGCUGUCAAAUUGACUGAACAAAAGGACGAGGAUAAGGUGACCUUGUCCUGCUCUGUGCCAGGUCAUGAGUUAAAUCCCACAGUGAACUGCCGGCCCGUGAAUGGUACAAACUCGAGGGGAUCGCAGAUGGAAUGUUCCACCACAUUUUCUACCUCUUAUCUCAAGCGGAACCCAAACUAUCGGGAGUCCUUCAUCUGUGAAGUGACGGACGGUUACAGAGGAGACGUGCAGACGUUCACCUUCAGCUCUUCGUCCUCAGUUGAGUACCCACCAACUCCAACAGCUGAGAGCAUCAGCAGCUCAAACCCCAACGUACCGAUGUCUGGUCAAACACCACAAACUAGUUUGUGGUGGUACAUUGGUGUGGCUGUGGGCGGAGCUUCACUCUUACUGGCUGUUGUUGCAGCUGUUAGGUGGAAGAGAAAUGAAGGCAAGACACAGACCAAUGGAAACGCUCAGGGACAGAGAUUAAACCCUACGGAGACUCAGUCCAGUCCAGACACGAGUCACGACAUGGCUGAUCCUGAGGAGGGAGUUUCCUACGCCUCUGUCAGCUACAUCAAGAGAAGCAACGGUAAAGCCGGGGUAAGAUUCUUGGACGUUUGUCUGUUUUUGUCUUUCAAAAAGAGAAAGAAGCCACAUUUGACCUGACGACAAAAGCCUGUGAUAUACUUCCGCACAUGCCGCGCCACACUGGGCACCGUGAUGCAGCACCGCUUUGGGCACCGGGUGGGCGUCGCUUUGUGUGGACCCUUGUGUGAAACCUGAAGCUGGUUCAAGUAAAGGCUGCUGCUGAUGAUGAUGAGGAGGAGGAAGGUGCUGCAGUGACAUACAGCACUGUGAACGUGCGACGUUGACU